ACAUUCACAAAAACAAACACAAAAGGCCUUGAGAAGAUUUUCAGGCUAGAUAUUUUCCUGCUGUAUUACCUGAGAGACAACCCUAGGGCACUUAAAGUCUUACAGAAACAACUCUCUUCUAUCAACUGCACAGUGGAGUUCGAUCUAGAUGAAGAGGAGGCAGUGGUUAGGGGGGAUGUUGAGAAGGGGUCUGGAAGCGCCUUCAGUGCUGCAGAGAACUGGGAGAUAGAAGUGGAUCGCGUCCUCAUCGGUCUUACUGAGCGCUACCUCUGCUAUCACGUGCUUGAGCCAAAAAAUUUAAAAAUCCUAUUGCAGGACCGCUCUUUUGUGACUGAUGAUAUCAAAGUGUACACAGAGAGCAGUUAUGCUGUGGUUGUUGGAGAGGUUGAGGUUGUAAAUCAGAAGAUUGCAAUCCUGGAAAAGAGCCUGCCAACCAGGAAAGAGUUACCAGUUGUUGAGAAGCAACUCCAACUGAUAGAAGAAGAGUUUAAUCGAGAAAUCCACGCAGAUUGCCCAGAGGUUAAAGUCCACAGAGGUAACGCCAUGAUCAUCCUGGAGGGACCGGACAAUGAGGUGCAGUCAGGAGCUACAAAACUUGAUGAACUGAUCAAAAAGGUACAGGAAAAGAGAGUUAAACUGCCUACAGCUCUACUUACCUUCAUAACAUCCAGCGGUGCCAUCUCCAAGUACCAGGCUCGCUUCAAGCAGAGACUCAGAAAUCCUGUUCUCCUAGAGGUGGGGUCAGAUCUGGUCCUGUCCAGUUUGUCCUCUGAUGCCCUUGAUGAGGCUAUGGCAGCACUGUCGAGAGACUUGAGCGUGGACAAUGUGCAAAUACAGGGAGCUGCGGCUGUACCUCCAGAUCUCGACAAAGUGAAAGAAAUUCUGAUCAAAGCCAAGAACGAGGCAAACUGUCGAGAGCUCAGAGUGGAUGUCAGCUUCAUCCCAGACCCCAGCAGUACCGCAGCCAUCAAGGUACGACUGGUGGGCUACAGUGAAAAUGUGAACAAGCUCAAAGAGGUUCUCAAUGACUACCAGAUUAACCAGGUUUGGACAGAAGAAGUACUGACCCUGCCAUAUCCUGAACUGGUUGACUGUUUUGAUAAAAUCUUAAAAAUGAUUGGUGUGAAGGACACCAAGGUGACCAUUAAAGCCUCAAAUAUUCCAAACCCCUGUGUGCUUGUGUCUGGCCCCCGCUGUCAGGUCCGGGAGGUCCAGGCAGACUUAAACGCAACUCUAGCCAGUCUGUUAUCAGAUACUUUGGUUCUAGAUGGACCAGGGGCUCAGUUGUACUUCCAAGCAGAGGGUAAAAUGAACAAAGAUCUGAUAGAGAGCUCCUGUCAGGUCCUUAUCAAGGAACAGCGAGGUGUGUCCUCAAAUGUGAAAACUAAAACACAAAGCAUUAGGUGCCAGAGCAACCCCGUGUCUCAAAGGCCCCACCUCACUCCUUGGAGCACUACAGUCAACAAGACAAGCUUGGAGAUCAAGCUCUGCAAUUUGGUGGAUGAGCAGGCGAAUGUGUUGGUGGUCCCAAUGCUCAAGAAGCAGCUAAAGUCUACUAAUAUUGGUAAAUGCCUGUUGAAAAAAGCAGGAAAUGCAAUCAAGUCAAACUUUGAGUCGGUGGCAGCGAAUUGUACCAUUGCUCCUGGUGAUGUUCUGCAGGUGGCUGGGCCUCCAUCUCUGGGCUGCACCAAGCUCUUCUUCAUUGAAUGCUUGCCAUGGGAUGGAUUCAGAGGGCAGAGUGUGCAGGCACUUAGCAAUGGGCUGAAGAAGUGUUUGGACCUCUGUGUACAGCAGCAAGUGUCCUCAGUGGCAUUUCCAGUUAUCGGACCUGGAAUUGUUUUAAAAUUCCCGCUGAGGGAAGCCAUUCAAGUGCUGACUGAGAGAAUUCAUCAGUUUGGAUUGUCUGCAUCCUCUGGGCCUCUCUCCACCAUCCACAUCGUCAUUAAACCAGAUAAUCCUGAUUCCGAGGAGGUGACUGUCAACAUUUGGAGAGCUGUUGCAAUUGGUUUGGACGAUGCAUGCUUGCAAGAUUUAUUGAUGAGUGUUUAAUGCUGGUGUUUUUUUUUACAGAGCUACCAUGAAAUCUACAAGCACCUCAGCUCAAAUAUGAACCAGGGAGGCCAAGGUAAAUUAGACAUUUCUGUCAGCAAUUCAAUAU
rnacentral:lncRNA from 15 species